CUCGCGGUACUUUGACGUCAUUCGGCUGUAAAUAUGAUCCUUCAACUGGUGAUGAUUAGAUUUGCAACAAACAAAUCGGUUCGCAAAUCGGACUGAAUGAUCCGCAUCAUUCAUCAAUAUGAAACGUCAUGGCACCGUGACUUCUCUUCUGAAUUUGAUUCCUUUGGAAAAAAAAGAUUCCUUUGUUUUGUAGGAAAUGCUGACAACAAAUGACAAUGAACAAGAUGUAAGUCAAACACACAGUGUUUUUUCAGGUAUCGAUUAUAGUCGUAUAUCUAUCUGUGCCACGUGCCACGUUCGCGCGCUCUGCACACAUCAUGCGUUGACAUUAAGUCAGUCAGCUCGGUUAAUUUCUGCAAACCACCAAAAAGUCGAGAAUUUCUGUGGGAAAGUGAAAAGCUGUUAUAAUUCUUUGAAGUAUUUUGGUCCCUGAAACCAUAUGAACCGAUGAAAGGCGGAUUGAAAAACGAUCAAGUGCUGUCUGUCACAUCAUGUGGUCUACAGGGACGAGCGAAACUCCUGAAUUCCUCUGUGGGCGUCCGGGCCUUUUAAUUGGAAUGGAAGGCAUUGCAGAUCUAUUAGGGCAAGGCUGGAAAAACGGAUGAGGCCGUCAGCGAGCUCGGCAGGGAGCGGCGGAGCGAGGUCCCCCAUCGCCCAGCUCUAUCCAUAACGGCCCGCGCAUGCCACAUGCUUCCGCUGUCAGGCGCACGGUGCCAUGUCGGCCCCCAGGGGCGCCACAUGAGUUCCCUGGCCAAUGCAGAGUUACAACCUCACAUUGGCACUGCUUGGCUUUUCCCAAUUUAGAACACCUUCAGCACUGCAAAGACUCCAUUGCGGUGCUGUGGGGGAGCCUUUCACCCCUGAAAACUGAAGCUGCUGCUCAUCACAAUGGUGGUGACUAAAUAUUUGAGCAGCAUGUUGUUUAUAACAGCUGAAAUGCAGUAUUUUGCCAAUGGAAAAUAUUACAUUGUACAAAUUAAUAAUAAAAAAAAUUUAGCUCA